UCCCUGGUGGCUCAAAAGGUAAAGCAUCUGCCUACAGAGCAGGAGACCCGGGUUUGAUCCCUGGGUUGGGAA
rnacentral:tRNA from 1 species